rnacentral:rRNA from 1 species
GACAGAGGGUGCAAACGUUGUUCGGAAUUACUGGGCGUAAAGCGUGUGUAGGCUGCUCCGAUAGUCGGAUGUGAAAGCCCUGGGCUCAACCUAGGAAGUGCAUUCGAUACUCCGGAGCUUGAGUCCUGGAGAGGAAGGCGGAAUUCUCGGUGUAGAGGUGAAAUUCGUAGAUAUCGAGAGGAACACCGGUGGCGAAGGCGGCCUUCUGGACAGUGACUGACGCUGAGACACGAAAGCGUGGGGAGCAAACAGGAUUAGAUACCCUGGUAGUCCACGCCGUAAACGAUGGGUGCUAGGUGUCGCGGGCUUUGACCCCUGCGGUGCCGUAGCUAACGCAUUAAGCACCCCGCCUGGGGAGUACGGCCGCAAGGCUAAA